rnacentral:misc_RNA from 1 species
AAGUCGUAACAAGGUCUCCGUUGGUGAACCAGCGGAGGGAUCAUUAGCGAGUUACAAAACUCCAAACCACUGUGAACUUUACCUUUUUUCAGAAUGUUGUUUCGGUGGGUAGUUGGUGGCAAGUUCACCAACGUGCCCUGCCCGGCCAGCUGGGCGCCUGCCGGCAGCACCAAAAAAUUCUUUAUAUUUAUAGCGGAGUUUUCAACUCUUCUGAGUAUGUUUAAAACAAAAUAAGCAAAACUUUCAACAACGGAUCUCUUGGUUCUG